AGGAUAAACGCUGGCGGCGUGCAUGAGACAUGCAAGUCGAACGAGUGUCUCGGGCUUGCUCGAGACGCUAGUGGCGGACGGCUGAGUAACGCGUAGGUGACCUACCCCGAAGUGGGGAAUAACUGCCCGAAAGGGUGGCUAAUACCGCAUGUGGUCGUACGUUCGGUCGUACGACCAAAGCCGCAAGGCGCGUUCGGGAGGGGCCUGCGUCCGAUUAGCUAGGUUGGUGGGGUAACGGCUCACCGAAGGCGACGAUCGGUAGGUGGUCUGAGAGGACGAUCACCCAGACUGGGACUGAGACACGGCCAGACCUCCGUACGGGAGGCAGCGAGUCGGGUAAUUUGCUACAAGUGGGACGAAACGCGUAGAACG
rnacentral:rRNA from 1 species